rnacentral:misc_RNA from 1 species
GAUGAAGAACGCAGCGAAAUGCGAUAAGUAAUGCGAAUUGCAGAAUUCCGUGAGUCAUCGAAUCUUUGAACGCACAUUGCGCCCCUUGGUAUUCCAUGGGGCAUGCCUGUUCGAGCGUCAUUUGUACCUUCAAGCUCUGCUUGGUGUUGGGUGUUUGUCUCGCCUCUGCGUGUAGACUCGCCUCAAAACAAUUGGCAGCCGGCGUAUUGAUUUCGGAGCGCAGUACAUCUCGCGCUUUGCACUCAUAACGACGACGUCCAAAAGUACAUUUUUACACUCUUGACCUCGGAUCAGGUAGGGAUACCCGCUGAACUUAAGCAUAUCAAUAAGCGGAGGA